rnacentral:rRNA from 1 species
GACGAACGCUGGCGGCGUGCUUAACACAUGCAGGUCGAACGGAAAGGCCCUGCUUUUGUGGGGUGCUCGAGUGGCGAACGGGUGAGUAACACGUGAGUAACCUGCCCUUGACUUUGGGAUAACUUCAGGAAACUGGGGCUAAUACCGGAUAGGAGCUCCUGCUGCAUGGUGGGGGUUGGAAAGUUUCGGCGGUUGGGGAUGGACUCGCGGCUUAUCAGCUUGUUGGUGGGGUAGUGGCUUACCAAGGCUUUGACGGGUAGCCGGCCUGAGAGGGUGACCGGCCACAUUGGGACUGAGAGACGGCCCAGACUCCUACGGGAGGCAGCAGGGGGGAAGAUGGCACAAUGGGCGGAAGCAUGAUGCAGCAACGCCGGGUGCGGGAGGACGGCCUUCGGGUGGUAAACAGCUUUCGCAUGUGACGAAGCGUGAGUGACGGUAAUGGGGAAAGAAGCACCGGCGAAUUACGU